GAUUUUCUUCCAUUACUGAUUGCCUGUUACAGAUUAAUAGUGUGCUUUUCCACGCGGAACACGUAUUGCCCAUUUCUUUUACAGACGCAGGCCCAUGUGCUUACACCUGUGCUGAUCAACAUACUCAUAACUGAUGUGGAAAAGGAGGUUCAAAGGCCAGUGCAACUCACAGAUGAAUCAAGGUGUAAGAGUUUCCCAUAUCUCCUGCGACAUGAAGGGCUGGGCACCUGGACUUCUAUUCAAGCAGCUUUAGCCCAGCUCUCAUUUCUGCUGGCUUUUCUUCCUAUCCUUCCCCAGGUCACUCUGUGUGGGCACCCUUUAGCAUAUGCAAAGAGACUCUGCAAGCAGGACGUACCCAAUCCCGAGGAACAAAGCAACAAUUUAUUGGCUCACAGGCUAGUUGGCACUUAACGAGACAUGGGGCUGAGCGCUGGAGAGCUCACAACCUGUGAGACAGCCCUGCCAAGGACUGCGCAAUGCUCCCCACAGCCCGAGCCAAGGCUGCACAGCUGCGGGGGCUGUACUGGAGCCGAACCUUGGGCCCUAGUGGGGGCAAGGAGAUCACAACUGGGUUACAGAUGGAGAGUUGCAGCUGCCAACAU
rnacentral:lncRNA from 1 species